rnacentral:pre_miRNA from 1 species
GAAAACUUGGAAACUACCGUUGGAUCGAGAAAUAAACGUUCGAGAUUCGUCCACGUCACCCUGAGUUAAAAUUUAACUCGCAGAUUCACUCAUGAGUUAAAAUUUAACUAGGAGUUAAAUUUUAACUCAUGGUGACGUGGACGAAUCUCGGACGUCCAUUUCUCGAUUCAACGGUAGUUUCCAUGCUUCC